rnacentral:lncRNA from 1 species
GGAUCCUGUGUUGUCUUUGCGUCACACAGCCCAAGGCUCCUGCAACCAGCCAAGUCCAGGCUGGUGUUUUACACUUGCACAGCUCCAGGGGUACAAGAUUUUGCCCUUAGAAGAAUUUCCUGUGCUGCCAGACUGGGAGAUUCUGCCACAGACUGCUUACCCAGCUGCCUUGCAAGUCUCCAAGACAGAGACCAUCUCUGAUUCCUGUCUUUCCUGUCCUGCCAUGUGCCUGCUCCUCAGGGAUUACCCAAAUAGGAGCCUCACAAUUGUUACCAACAGCACAUCAGAUGCUGGUUUUGCCCACGUGUUGUCAGGAGCAGCCUGGGGAACACAGAGCUCGCUGACACCUUGUAAGGAAAACAUUUUACGAGUUUGGGAAGUGUAUUGUGUAGAAAACAGCAUCAGUGAUCCAGCAAGAAACGGCUCUGGUCAGAGCUUUGUGGCCUCGGAGGAGCCUUUGAAUGUCACAGAAAGCUGAACUAUCAUUGCAAGUGAUUUAGAGAAGCUGGGAAGUUUUCUGUGUGCUGUGAGCAGCUAUUAGAAAAAUAAAAUUUGGCAAAAGAU